UACGUAGGGACCAAGCGUUGUUCGGAUUUACUGGGCGUAAAGGGCGCGUAGGCGGCAAUUCAAGUCAUCUGUGAAAUCUCCGGGCUUAACUCGGAACGGUCAGAUGAUACUGCUUUGCUAGAGUGCGGAAGGGGCAAUCGGAAUUCUCGGUGUAGCGGUGAAAUGCGUAGAUAUCGAGAGGAACACCGGUGGCGAAGGCGGCGAUCUGGACGAUGACUGACGCUGAGACGCGAAAGCGUGGGGAGCAAACAGG
rnacentral:rRNA from 1 species